rnacentral:rRNA from 1 species
UACGUAGGGUGCAAGCGUUAAUCGGAAUUACUGGGCGUAAAGCGUGUGCAGGCGGUUUUGUAAGUCUGACGUGAAAGCCCCGGGCUCAACCUGGGAAUUGCGUUGGAGACUGCAAGGCUUGAAUCUGGCAGAGGGGGGUAGAAUUCCACGUGUAGCAGUGAAAUGCGUAGAGAUGUGGAGGAACACCGAUGGCGAAGGCAGCCCCCUGGGUCAAGAUUGACGCUCAUGCACGAAAGCGUGGGGAGCAAACAGG